GUCGGCGCAGCCCGGACCCUCCUGCAUGAUACAACCGAGGGGCGCGAUGUCGGGGGAAACCCUCCCGUGAGACAGCGGGAUAGAGCGAAAGACCAAGACCGGAAAACCCGAAAGCGCCCGUAAUGGGCGCUUUCGUCUU
rfam:Cronobacter sp. DJ34 Bact_Abyss1_124, whole genome shotgun sequence.